GCCUUACCGUCUGGAAAAGCGCGUCUCUUCCUAUUUCCCACGGAGACAAACCCGGCACUGCGGCUGCACCGCCCUCACCUGUAAGAAGUGGAAUUAAUGAAAACUGAAGUGUUUCUCUGAUGCCAUUUCUGUGCUAACUUCUCAGCUACAAGCUCCAGCCAGAGAGUUUACAUUGAAGUACAAUGACAUUGAUUCAGAGGUGAA